AGUAGCUUUAUCUAAAGCACUGACUAUAGUAAAUCUGGUUUCAAACAUGGUUCGAAAUACUGUGGCACAUGGAAAUUUAACUCAUUUGUGUAUGAUGUUCCGAAAAGCGUUGGAACAAACGUUCCUACAAGGUAAUCAAUUUUCCACUUUAAUAACCUUAUAAGUUUAUGCUUACUCUGGUGUUAAAAAUAAAAGAAUUGUUUAUAUAUCAUAUUUUUAGCAAUAAAUGAGAUAAUGAAAACAUUUGUAGCUUUUCAAGUGAUUUAACAUCCUUUCACAUUUCUCAUUAAAAAUGUUCUAUGUUAAGUAUAAUCAAGAAAAAACAACCAAUUUUAAAAGUAAUAUUAUAAUUUUCUACGAAUGAGUUAAUUUGUUUCAGUACAUCUUUUGAAAUUACUAUGAAAUGUUAAUACAUCUACCAAAUAAUUAUAAAAGAAACCUUGAGAGAUAAAGACUCAUUUCUUUGUGAAAAGGUAUACCAACAAUACUAAACUCUAAGGCACCAAAAAGGUAUAGCAACAGUACCGAACGCUAAGGCCACCAAAAAGGGAAAUAUAGCAACAAUACCGACCUUUAAGGCCACCAAAAAGGUAUAGCAACAAUACCGAACUCUAAGGCCACCAAAAAGGUAUAGCAACAAUACCGAACUCUAAGGCCACCAAAAAGGUAUAGCAACAAUACCGAACUCUAAGGCCACCAAAAAGGUUUAUAGCAACAAUACGAACCUCUAAGGCCACCAAAAAGGUAUAGCAACAAUACCGAACUCUAAGGCCACCAAAAAGGUAUUAUAGCAAACAAUACCGAACUCUAAGGCCACCAAAAAGGGUAUAGCAACAAUACCGAACUCUAAGCCACCAAAAAGGUAUAGCACAAUAACUCUAAAUAAAAGUAUAGCAACAAUACCGAACUCUAAGGCACCAAAAAGGUAUAGCAACAAUACCGAACUCUAUACAACAAUACUCAACUCUAACCAAAAAGGUAUAGCAACAAUACCGAACUCUAAGGCCACCAAAAAGGUAUAGCAACAAUACCGAACUCUAAGGCCACCAAAAAGGUAUAGCAACAAUACCGAACUCUAAGGCCACCAAAAAGGUAUAGCAACAAUACCGAACUCUAAGGCCACCAAAAAGGUAUAGCAACAAUACCAAACUCUAAGGCCACCAAAAAGGUAUAGCGACAAUAUCGAACUCUAAGGCCACCAAAAAGGGGAAGUCGGUUAAAACUGACAAAAUCAAUCAAUCAAUCAUGUCCUGGAAAAAUUUAAGAAUAUGUACUUAAGUACCUGGUCUUUUGUUAGUCUUGUAUGCUUUUAAUUUUAUCUAAUUUAUAAAUUUUAGUGUUAAGUGUGACAAUAAUUUUCACUUAACUAGUACACAAUUUUAUUUAGGGGCCAAACCACGCUAAGAACAGGUUCCAGUUGCGGAAUAUUUGCUGCGUUGAAGACCCAUUGUUGGCCUUCCUCUGUUAUCUGCUCUUUGGUCGGGUUGUUGUCUCUUUGGCAUAUUUCCCAUUUCAAUUUUCCAUUUAAAUAUAUGCUCGUCUUCUGAAAAAUUAAAACUAGAAAGUAUAAUCUAAAUGUGUGUUUUCAAAGUCCGUCAAUUUCUAUAUCUGAAAAAAUUCGAAAACAGGAAUGCAGCAUCCGGAGGUGUGCUUCGGAUAGUUCCAAAACAAAAAUGUAUACUUGUUUAUUGGUAAUGGACGUCAUACUGAACUCCGAAAUAUACACGAGAAACUAAAAUUAAAAAUCAUACAAGACUAACAAAGGCCAGAGGCUCCUCACUUGGGACAGGCGCAAAAAUGCGGCGAGGUUAAACAUGUAUACAAUAUAUAUAUAUAUAAGGAAUAGAUUACCUUAGCCGUAUUUGGCACAACUUUUUGGAAUUUUGGGUCGUCAAUGCUCUUCAACUUUGUACAUGUUAGGCUUUAUAACUAUUUUGAUCUGAUCGUCACUAAUGAGGCUUAUGCAGAAGAAACGCGCGUCAGGCGUUUUAAAUUAUAUAAGCCUGGUACCUUUGUUAACUAUGUACUGUUGUUGUAAGGACUGUUCGAGUAGUGUCGGACGUGAAAUUGUCGAAAGACAGGACGUUGAAGUAAUCCUGCCAGCAACAUUAUAAUGGCCUGGUUCAGAUUUUUAUUGAUCAGUCAAAACAUUUGCUGUUUUGAUGUAAAUGUGUUACAUGCAGUAAAAGACAAAAAAUGUAUGCAUUGGUUUCAGCUUUCUGUUUUAGAAUUUCAUGCUAGUUCAAUAAUACGGUAUGAUAAAUUUCGUCAUGAAAAUCAAAUAUUGUAUAAACAGAAAGAUGUAUGAUAAGCAUCAAUAGCAAUUUGAUAUAUGAAGAUUAAUCAUGAUUUGUAAAAUAAAAAUUACCAACAUGUUACAUUCUGAACGGUCUUCAGUACCUGGAUUGUUCACUUAUUAUUUUUUUGUAUUCUAGGCAUUGGUGGAUUUAUUCCCCUAUAGGCGCCAAUGAGUGGAGAAUCCAAACUCGGUUGAAAUUUAAAGUACGGGAUGUUACGCUCUGAUACCAAGUUUCUUUCAAAAGCGAUCUGGAGAUAUCAUCGCUUUCCCGAAAACAAUCGGAAGUGGUAAAGUUGGUAUUGUAUAUUCCAGCAAUGAAUAUAUUAGUGCCAAAGAAUUCAAAGUGGAAACGUCUGGAUAUUUAAGUACAGUUACGUAUCAAACAAGAACCAUCUGGAGGUACAGAUAUACUAAGAGGGCUGUGAAUUGUAAUCGACAGACAGGCGUUAGUUUAAUUAUAUAUUCUUUAAACUAUUAAACCUGUUUUGAUCAAAGUAUUUUGUU
rnacentral:lncRNA from 1 species